CUCUUCCUUUCUUUGUGUGAGGAACACUUAUAGCUACAGUCUAUUGAGUAAGCACCUUUACCAUUCUGCCUUCUGAAGUUACCACAAUGAUGCCAUUUCUUCAACAGGAGAAAGGGGACAUAUUUCAAGAGUUUCAAUACCUAUGAGAGGAAUAACAGGGAUUAUUAAUCAGGUGGCUGUAAAGCUCUGUACAAGAUCAUUUUUGGUCCAUCAAGUUGUCUCUCAUGGCUUCUUAUGAACAUGUGAAUCUGAAGGACUCCAAUCAGUGGACAUAAGAAACAGUGACAGAGGCUAAAGGCCGAAGAGAAAAAGAGUAAUACAUGUCUACCUGCUCUCUUGCCUCCUCACCAACAAAGAACGAAGUGUGAUUAAGGGGAAAGCUAGGGGAGUUCCCUCAACUUCCUAAAUGAUGCUCACUCCCUGUCUGCCCCUAUUAUUUCUCUCUCUUUUUUAUUAAAUCUC